UUUCAGCACAUCUAAACCCUAGGAGAAGAAGAAAGAAAAAGAGAGGAAGGAAGAAAAAGCUUAGUUUUGUAGUUCAAGAAACAUAAGCUAUGGUGGCCAUGGGUGUGAGGGAAUUAUGAAUUUUGUUGGGUGAAAUCCAAGCUAAAACCAAGUGGAAAUACAAAGGUAAAGUUAGAGUACUGUGGUGGCGUGCCGGAGGAAAUAACAAGCGACCUGCAAGUAGGAAUAGCUAGAUACGCCUCCGAACAAAUAGCGAUGUAAUAUCCCGCUAUCGUAAGGUUAUUUGAGUUAAAGGUGACCGGGUCCUAGGACGAGGUGCUCCUCCCUAUCCAUUGCUCGGUAGGUUUACCAUGACAUUAAAUAUUAGCAACCGUGCUCGAAGUCACUCCACUGACGGUCAAGGUCUAAUUAUGUGUAUAUGAAUAC